CCUACGGGAGGCAGCAGUGGGGAAUAUUGGACAAUGGGGGGAACCCUGAUCCAGCCAUGCCGCGUGUGUGAAGAAGGCCCUCGGGUUGUAAAGCACUUUCAGUGAGGAAGAACGCCUGGUGGUUAAUACCCAUCAGGAAAGACAUCACUCACAGAAGAAGCACCGGCUAACUCCGUGCCAGCAGCCGCGGUAAUACGGAGGGUGCGAGCGUUAAUCGGAAUUACUGGGCGUAAAGCGCGCGUAGGUGGCUUGGUAAGCCGGUUGUGAAAGCCCCGGGCUCAACCUGGGAACGGCAUCCGGAACUGUCAAGCUAGAGUGCAGGAGAGGAAGGUAGAAUUCCCGGUGUAGCGGUGAAAUGCGUAGAGAUCGGGAGGAAUACCAGUGGCGAAGGCGGCCUUCUGGACUGACACUGACACUGAGGUGCGAAAGCGUGGGUAGCAAACAGGAUUAGAUACCCCGGUAGUC
rnacentral:rRNA from 1 species